GCUUCGCAGUGUCAGAGCCACUUGCACCCUCGGCCAGUCCAAGCCGUGGAGCUGAAUCUGAUAAUGAAUCACCGGUUGAAACAGCUGCUGACCAUGAGGUCAAUGAAGUAGAAGAUAAGGAAGAAGAUGGUGUUGAAGUUGGUGGUAAGAGGAAGCUCACCUCGGCAGUUUGGAAUGAUUACAAGAGAGUGAAGUUCAAUGGCACAGUUCGAGCAAAGUGCAUUUAUUGCUUCAAGCUACCUUCAGCAACAAGUGGAAAUGGGACUAAGCCGGCUUACUCCCAAACUGUUGGAAGCUCUUAUGUACUCACAAGAUUGGCUUAGAAACAAAUACAAAGUUGAUGAGCAAAAUAAGCAGGCUGCUACCUUCUGGUCGUGCCUCCAAGACAUACAGGAGGGCCUUCAGGAGCUCACUCUUUGAAGCAACAUCACAUAGUUUGUUGUUUGACCUUUUGUUGGAGCUUGCCCUUUGAUUUGAAGCAACAUCACAUAGCUCACUCUUUGCUGUUUGACCUUUUGUUGGAGUUUGCCUCCAAGUCCAAGCUUUGUCAAACUGCAGCAACUCCAUGUCAAGAAUGCAAGCUUAAUUAUCUAUUUAUGUAUCUCCUAUUGGUUGUAAUACUUAAAACUGCUACUCCUUAGUCCUUAGUAUUACAACUAUAGUUGUGGUUGAGAACUUGAGAUUGAGUCAUGACUCAGAACAUGUCAUAUGUGAUAGCUGUGAGUUGUCAUGUGGUGGAGACUUAUAAGUCCUAGCUGUGGAGACUUAUAAUUCCAAGCUGUGCAGAUUUUAUAUUAGAC